AUUUGUCCCUGGGACAUCAUGAAAAAGCUUUUUUGUGCACAACACAUUGAUAAGGUAGAUUUUAUCUACAACACACGGCGAAAGCAUGUUUUGGUCUGCUACGCACAACAUCGUAUAAAUUAAUCAUUCUUAGCUGAAAGGACAUGUAAAAAAAAAUUUACCCUUCACCGGAGCCCUCGUGUCAUAUUCUCCCUCUCCUCUCUCUCUCCCCCUCCGCUGCCCUCUGUUUUCUCCC
rnacentral:lncRNA from 1 species